rnacentral:rRNA from 1 species
CUGGCGGCGUGCCUAAUACAUGCAAGUCGAGCGAACAGAAGGGAGCUUGCUCCCGGAUGUUAGCGGCGGACGGGUGAGUAACACGUGGGUAACCUGCCUGUAAGAACUGGGAUAACUCCGGGAAACCGGAGCUAAUACCGGAUAGUUCCUUGAACCGCAUGGUUCAAGGAUGAAAGACGGUUUCGGCUGUCACUUACAGAUGGACCCGCGGCGCAUUAGCUAGUUGGUGGGGUAAUGGCUCACCAAGGCGACGAUGCGUAGCCGACCUGAGAGGGUGAUCGGCCACACUGGGACUGAGACACGGCCCAGACUCCUACGGGAGGCAGCAGUAGGGAAUCUUCCGCAAUGGACCAAAGUCUGACGGAGCAACGCCGCGUGAGUGAUGAACGUUUUCGGAUCGUAAAGCUCUGUUGUUAGGGAAGAACAAGUGCGAGAGUAACUGCUCGCACCUU